rnacentral:sRNA from 1 species
GAAAAGCGGCCCGACCUGCUUGGGGUGUAGUGGGCGGACCGCGCGGCUGGAGGUGUGAGGAUCCGAACCCAGGGGUGGGGGGUGGAGGUGGCUUCUGCGAUCGAAGGGGACUUGAGACUCACCGGCCGCACGCCAUGAGGGCCCUGUGGGUGCUGGGCCUCUGCUGCGUCCUGCUGACCUUCGGGUCGGUCAGAGCUGACGAUGAAGUUGAUGUGGAUGGUACAGUAGAAGAGGAUCUGGGUAAAAGUAGAGAAGGAUCAAGGACGGAUGAUGAAGUAGUACAGAGGUUUGUGUUCAUUUGAACUUACGUAUACAGAUAAGCCGUGUGAACCUUGUGAGUUACGGUCACUUCUUAUGUAUCUCUUCUCCAAAGGUCCAGAUAAAGUCUAACACCCUGUAUUUAAAUACCCGGUGAGUUGUGUGCAUACAUACCUCCUAACUUGUCCCUAGGAGUGAUGAAAAUUGAGUGAAUUCCUUUGAAAACUAUAUUGCAGAAUACUAGCACCAUAAACUUUGUAAGACUUUAUAGAAGAGACUUUCAGUUGGAUUUGUAUUCAUUAACUGUGUACACCGAGUAAGUUUAAAAAUGGGAUUUCUGUCAGUUGAACAAUAUUUUAAAAUUUGGCCUCUUGGGACUUAUUGACAGUUUUGAAGUCCUCACUGUGGAGCAUAAAUGAGUAUGACUUUGCUUUUUAGUAGAGGAAAGUUGGGAUUUUUUUUUUUUCUGGCAAUUUUAAGAACCGAGUAUUUCCAGUGCAAUGUUAAAGGUAGCCUACUGCUGUGCUAACAUAAGACGGUAUAUCAGUAAUAUUUUAUAAAGGUUUCCAUUUUAACCCC